rnacentral:tRNA from 3 species
AGUCCCGUUGAGUAGCGGUCAAUCUUUCAAGCCUUUGGAGCUUGAGACCCCGGUUCGAAUCCGGGCGGGACUA